rnacentral:tRNA from 1 species
UCCCAGUGGCUCAGUGAUAAAGAAUCUGCCUGCAAUGCAGAAGACACAGGUUCAAUUCCUGGGUUGGGAA